GACAGAGGGUGCAAACGUUGCUCGGAAUUACUGGGCGUAAAGGGCGUGUAGGCGGGAAGGCAAGUCGGGCGUGAAAGCCCCAGGCUCAACCUGGGAACUGCACUCGAAACUGCCUUUCUUGAGUGCCGGAGAGGAAAGCGGAAUUCCUGGUGGUAGAGGUGAAAUUCGUAGAUAUCAGGAGGAACACCAGGUGGCGAAGGCGGCUUUCUGGACGGUAACUGACGCUGAGACGCGAAAGCGUGGGGAGCAAACGG
rnacentral:rRNA from 1 species